rnacentral:rRNA from 1 species
AGAGUUUGAUCCUGGCUCAGAAUGAACGCUGGCGGCGUGCCUAACACAUGCAAGUCGGAUGUGCCGCAAGGUGCAUGGCAGACGGGUGAGUAACGCGUGGGGAAUCUACCUCUUUGUGGGGAAUAACGCUCCGAAAGGAGUGGUAAUACCGCAUGAGAUCCAUGGCUGGGAUGCUGUGGAUGAAACCUGGGGACCGCAAGGCCUGGGGCAAGGAGAGGAUCCUGCGUCUGAUUAGCUAGUUGGUGAGGUAACGGCCCACCAAGGCAACGAUCAGUAGCCGGCCUGAGAGGGUGAUCGGCCACACUGGAACUGAGACACGGUCCAGACUCCUACGGGAGGCAGCAGUGGGGAAUUUUGCGCAAUGGGCGAAAGCCUGACGCAGCAACGCCGCGUGGGUGAUGAAGGUCUUCGG